UAUAAGUUACAACGGUAAGUACUAUUACCACUAAAUCGCCAAAACGUAACUUACGCUUUAUACGGAAAUAUUCAUAAAUGCGGAUAUUAAAAUAUAUUAUUUUUGAGAAAAAUAAUUAUAUUUUGGAAUGAGAAAUAAAAUAUAUUAAGUGAGACUUAAUAUCAUAAACGCACAUGUAUUAAAUCCCCCAUCCUUGGGAAGGAGAUUAACUACCAAUUAUGUACAAGGAACAGUUGUCUAACUGUUUCCCGAAAAUUAAACUAUAAAGCUAAAGCACGGCCAUCCGUCUAAUAGAAUUAGCACAUGUAGGUCGU
rnacentral:lncRNA from 1 species